CGGGUAGAAAGAAGUCUAUUAAUACAGUAAUGCAGAGAGCAUGUGAACGGGAAGCGUUGCGCCUCAUUAGUUUGAGGCAGGAAACCCACCAUAAAUAUGGAGAGCAUCAUCCUCUGGGAUGGAGAGAAAGCACGCUGAAAAUCAGCACCCAUUUCCUCUGUUUCCUGACUGCUUUGCAAUAUGACCGUCAGCCUCCUCAAGCUCUCGCUGCCAUUCCUUCCCUGCCAUGAUGGAGUGUACCUUCAAAAUAACCAUCAGUAAACCACAUCCUUCUCUAUUCUUCAGUCAAACAAUCAUCGAAUACACUCCAAGAGGUCAUGAAUGGAUACACACUUGGGAAGAGAAUGCAUUUUAAUGAGAGUAGAAACUGUCAGGCAUUUGAUCAACUUCAUGUAACCUGCUUAUGCCUCAAGGCCUGUUUGUGCUCAAUCAGAUAUAUUCCACAUCCAUCUGAUAAUGAAUUGCUGCUCUGAAGUUCCUACUUUUUGGCUUGGUAGGUCAUCUAAUACCCAGCUGAGGACAGCUGAGAUUAGGUGAUAACUUAGUGGUCCAUUGUCAAUGUUCAGUUUCCACUAAUGCUCAAUAGUAGGCCAAGAGCUGUCUUUCAAAGGGAUAAUAAUUAUUGGCAGAUGGUAGAGUCUUGUUCCAAAAUUCCAAGGACCUCUUCUCUGAUUCACCUAUAAGAACCUGCCAAAAGUUCUGAACAGCAAAUCUAUUUCCAGUUGACAACCCAACUACCAUUGGAUUUGCUGAAUUAUAUUGUCCAAGAGGGCAGAGCAGUUGCACAGCAACCUGGAAAUGUGGAAGAGACUUCUCCUGUUCCAGGGCCCAGUCAAAGCUAGUAGCUUUCUCAGUCACUUGAUAUAUGGGCCAGAACACCUAUGUAAGGAACGUGCUGUCUCCAGAAUCCAAAUAGGUUCACUAAAUGUGCUGGCUAUUUUUGGGUGAUAACUUGACACACACUGGAGUUAUCACAGAGAAAGGAGCCUCCAUAGAGGGAAUGCCUCCAUGAGAUCCAGCCAUAAUGUAUUUUCUCAAUUAGUGAUCAAGGGGGAAGACCCAUUGUGGGUGGCGUCAUCCCUGGGCUGGUGGUCUUGGAUCCUGAGCAAGCCACGGGAAACAAGUCAGUAACAUCACUCCAUGGACUCUGCAUCAGUUCCUGCUUCCUGACCUGCCUGAGUUCCAGUCCUUUGGUGAUGAACAGCAAUGUGGAAGUGUAAGCCAGAUAAACCUUUUCCUCCCCAACUUGCCUCUUGAUCAUGAUGUUUGUGUAGUGCCUGACUAAGGCACUAAGUGUUAUGCUUUUAUAGUGACAAGAAAAAACUCUUACAGGUGUGUCCAGUUGUUGGUUUUUGGUUGAUUCCAGUCAAGAUGAGAACCAAGAUUAAACAUCCAAACAAUACAUAGCCUUUCAUGUUCUUGGUAGGCUUGUUGACAAAUUUGUUUCCACUGUUUGAUCCGUCAUGCCCAUCUUUUUUUCAUGAGCCAUCAUAUCCUGCUCACCUCUCACCAUCCCUCAUUAGGCUCAAGUGUCAUCACAAGAAAGUCUUUUCUAGUAUAUUCAGGAAGUACUUUGAAAUCCUUUAACCUGCUAUAUCACACACUUAGAGUGAACUUAUUGUUUCAAUCGAAAAUUAUGGCUUGAUAAUAAUUAUUUUUCAUACCACCUUGUUUAUUCCUUUGCUACUGUCUGUUAGGCUAUCCUGCUAUUAGAUAUGUUCAGUUCUUUGUAUUCUGAGUUCCUAUUAAACUAUCAAGGCAUUGUGCAUCCUAGGCAAGUGCUGUGCCUCCUAUUUAUCUCUCCAGCCCUUUCUUGUACUUGUUAUUUUGAAACCGAAUCUCAUUAUGUUGUCAAGGGUGGCACUGAACUCAAUAAACAUUCAAGGCAAGCCUUGAAUUCACAAUACUCCUACAUCAGUAUCUUGCCUGAGCAGUCUAUGCCACCACAUCCAGUGACUAUGAGUUUCUUUGUGAAGGUUUGUUACAUAUCUUCACAAUUUUUUGUUAACUAGUUUUUUACUCACACAUAUCAAUUAAAUAUAAUGGGAUUAUUUCAAUAUUAUCAUAGAUGUUAGUAAUGUAUUAACUGUUUUUACUUACCCUCUCUUAUCUUGUCUAAGCCCUGUUAAUCUCUUUUUUCUUUCCAACUAUUUCCUCUUUGAUUGCCUCUCUCUUUCUCUUCCUUCCUUUCCUCCUUCCCUUGUUCCUCUCAUCACUUUUAUCUUUUCAUAUCCCACUGAGUUCAACUUGGAUUAAUUAUAGGAACAUGAGUAUCUUUUCAAUGGCUAUACCACUAAAGAAAAUGUCUCUUUCCACAAGAACCCAUUGGCUGUCUAUACAUUCUUACAGACAGAUUAGACUUUAUGAAAUUCUUUUCCCCUCUGUUCUGAUGGAUCCAAUCUCAAUAAACCCAGCUGCCAAGAGUUCAAAUGUGUAACGGGCAUGAUAUACUUAGAAGUCAGUCGGCUAUAACACUCUAGUAACGGGCAUGAUAUACUUAGAAGUCAGUCGGCUAUAACACUCUAUCCUCCUUAUAAUUCUUACAUUCUUUCUGCCCAUUCUGUUGUAAUAUUCACUGCGUCUUGGAGUGAAUGAUAUAGAUGUCCAGCUGAAGGCUGUAUGUUGUUAUAUAUGUGGUAAAUGUUUAGAUAUGAUUGUAAGAUAGACACAUCUUUUUAUUUCUCUCUCUGAGAGAAUC